rfam:Hordeum vulgare subsp. vulgare, WGS project CAJW01000000 data, contig: morex_contig_2554036
AUAGUACUCCCCCGUCUUAAAAUUAUUGUCUUUGAUUUGUCUAGAUAUAAAUGUAUCUAGUUAUGUAUUAAUAUUUAGAUACAUCGAUUUUUAGAUAAAAAAAGACAAUAACUUUAGGACGGAGGGAGUAGACA